UUAUUACUCCCUCCGUCCGGAAAUACUUGUCAGAGAAAUGGAUGUACCUAGAUGUAUUUUAGUUCUAGAUACAUCCAGUUUUAUCCAUUUUAAUGACAAGUAAUGCCGGACGGAAGGAGUAGGUG
rfam:Triticum aestivum genome assembly, contig: Triticum_aestivum_CS42_TGACv1_scaffold_592938_7BS